rnacentral:rRNA from 1 species
GACGAACGCUGGCGGCGUGCUUAACACAUGCAAGUCGAACGGAAAGGCCCUGCUUUUGUGGGGUGCUCGAGUGGCGAACGGGUGAGUAACACGUGAGUAACCUGCCCUUGACUUUGGGAUAACUUCAGGAAACUGGGGCUAAUACCGGAUAGGAGCUCCUGCUGCAGGGUGGGGGUUGGAAAGUUUCGGCGGUUGGGGAUGGACUCGCGGCUUAUCAGCUUGUUGGUGGGGUAGUGGCUUACCAAGGCUUUGACGGGUAGCCGGCCUGAGAGGGUGACCGGCCACAUUGGGACUGAGAUACGGCCCAGACUCCUACGGGAGGCAGCAGUGGGGAAUAUUGCCCAAUGGGCGGAAGCCUGAUGCAGCAACGCCGCGUGCGGGAUGACGGCCUUCGGGUUGUAAACCGCUUUCGCCUGUGACGAAGCGUGAGUGACGGUAAUGGGUAAAGAAGCACCGGCUAACUACGUG